rnacentral:rRNA from 1 species
CGGCUAAGCUAUUAAGGGCGUAUGGGGGAUGUCUUGGCAUCAGAUGGCGAUGAAGGGCGUGGAAGACUGCGAUAAUCUUGGGGAAGUUGUCAAACGAGCGUUGAUCCCGAGGUUCCCGAAUUAUCAUAUACUGAAUACAUAGGUAUAUGAGGCACACGCGGUGAACUGAAACAUCUCAGUAACCGCAGGAAAGGAAAGCAACAGCGACUUCGUUAGUAGCGGCGAGCGAAAGCGAAUCUAGCCUAAACCGUCUUGCUUCGGCAAGGCGGGGUCGUGGGGCUUGUCAUUGUGGAGUUACAAAACUGUUUGCUAGAAGAAUUCGUUGGAAAGCGAAACCAUAGAGGGUGACAGUCCCGUAUUUGAAAGUAAACAGACUUCCGACAGGUACCCGAGUAGGUCCGGCCACGUGGAAUCCGGACUGAAUCUGGGAGGUCCAUCUCCUAAGGCUAAGUAUUCUCUGAUGACCGAUAGUGAAAAGUAGGGUGACCGAAAGAUGAAAAGAACCCCUGUUAGGGGAGGGAAAGAACCUGAAACCAUACGCUUACAAGCUGUCGGAGCACUAUUAUCUUCGGAUAAGUGUGACGGCGUGCCUUUUGCAUAAUGAUCCGGCGAGUUACCGUCAAUGGCUCGAUUAAGGCCUUCCGGGCCGUAGUCUCAGCGAAAGCAAGUCUGAAUAGGGCGUUUUGUCAGUGGCGGUAGACGCGAAACCAGGUGAACUACCCAUGAGCAGGUUGAAGCGCGGGUAAGACUGCGUGGAGGACCGAACCCACCUAGGUUGAAAACUGGGGGGAUGACUUGUGGGGAGGAGUAAAAGUCUAAUCAAACCUGGAGAUAGCUCGUUCUCUCCGAAAUAGCUUUAGGGCUAGCCUUGAGCCACUACGUAAUGGGGGUAGAGCACUGAUUUGGACUGGGGCCCUUCCCGGGUACCCACCCUAGUUAAACUCCGAAUACCAUUGCGAUUAUCUCAGGAGUCAGUCCACGAGGGAGAAGCUUCGUGGUCGAGAGGGAAACAACCCAGACCGCCUGCUAAGGUCCCAAAGUCUUGCUAAGUCACUAAGGAUGUUAAGAUACUGUGACAGCCAGGAUGUUGGCUUAGAAGCAGCCAUCAUUUAAAAAGUGCGUAAUAGCUUACUGGUCGAGUGUUUUAGCACCGAUAAUGAACGGGAGUAAGCAAGACACCGAAGCAGCGGAUUCAGCUCACGCUGAGUGGUAGGAGAGCGUUCCAGCACAGAUACAAGCCGUACCGAAAGGAGCGGUGUCGGGUGCUGGAAGUGAUUAUGCCGGAAUGAGUAACGAUAAAACAGGUGAGAAUCCUGUUCGCCGCAAACCUAAGGUUUCCUGGGGAAGGUAAUUCCGCCCAGGGUUAGCCGGUACCUUAGUUGAGGCCGAAAGGCGUAGACGAUGGAGAGCAGGUUAAUAUUCCUGCGCCGGAUAUGUGGACCGAUGGGGGGACGUUGUGUAGAUUGUGAUCGGGCUGACAGAAAUGCCCGUAGGGGAAGACAAGGUCGUGGAUAGGAAAAUCCGCCACAUCAGACCAAGGCUUUCACUCGAGUCCAAUGAUGACGAAGUCAUAUGACGCAUAACCAAGAAAAGCCUCUAAGGAUUGAAGCAUAUCUGACCGUACUAAAACUGACACAGGUAGGUGAGGCGCGUAGCCUAAGGCGCUCGAGAAAACGCUGGUUAAGGAACUCUGCAAAUUGACCCCGUAAGUUAGCGAUAAGGGGUGCCUCCGACGGUUCACGCUGUUGGAGGCCACAGAAAAUCGGCUCUGGCGACUGUUUACUAAAAACACAGGACUCUGCGAACUCGUAAGAGGAUGUAUAGAGUCUGACGCCUGCUCGGUGCCGGUAAGUUAAGGAAGAGG